rnacentral:rRNA from 1 species
AUUGAACGCUAGCGGCAUGCCUAACACAUGCAAGUCGAACGAGUGGCGGACGGGUGAGUAAUAUCUGGGAACCUGCCUGGUAGAGGGGGAUAACUACUGGAAACGGUAGCUAAUACCGCAUACCAUCGGAUGUGCCCAGAUGGGAUUAGCUAGUAGGGGGGGUAAAGGCUCACCAAGGCCACGAUCCCUAGCUGGUCUGAGAGGAGGACCAGCCACACUGGAAAUGAGACACGGUCCAGACUCCUACGGGAGGCAGCAGUGGGGAAUUUUGUACAAUGGGCGCAAGCCUGAUGCAGCCAUGCCGCGUGUAUGAAGAAGGCCUGCGGGUUGUAAAGUACUUUCAGCGGGGAGGCGUUACCUGCAGAAGAAGCACCGGCUAACUCCGUGCCAGCAGCCGCGGUAAUAC